rnacentral:rRNA from 1 species
GGUUGUCCCGGUUUAAGCGUGUAGGUGUGUGUUCCAGGUAAAUCCGGUUCACUUUAACACUGAGGCGUGACGACGAGGCACUACGGUGCUGAAGCAACAAAUGCCCUGCUUCCAGGAAAAGCCUCUAAGCAUCAGGUAACAUCAAAUCGUACCCCAAACCGACACAGGUGGUCAGGUAGAGAAUACCAAGGCGCUUGAGAGAACUCGGGUGAAGGAACUAGGCAAAAUGGUGCCGUAACUUCGGGAGAAGGCACGCUGACACGUAGGUGAAGUGAUUUACUCAUGGAGCUGAAGUCAGUCGAAGAUACCAGCUGGCUGCAACUGUUUAUUAAAAACACAGCACUGUGCAAACACGAAAGUGGACGUAUACGGUGUGACGCCUGCCCGGUGCCGGAAGGUUAAUUGAUGGGGUCAGCGCAAGCGAAGCUCCUGAUCGAAGCCCCGGUAAACGGCGGCCGUAACUAUAACGGUCCUAAGGUAGCGAAAUUCCUUGUCGGGUAAGUUCCGACCUGCACGAAUGGCGUAAUGAUGGCCAGGCUGUCUCCACCCGAGACUCAGUGAAAUUGAACUCGCUGUGAAGAUGCAGUGUACCCGCGGCAAGACGGAAAGACCCCGUGAACCUUUACUAUAGCUUGACACUGAACAUUGAGCCUUGAUGUGUAGGAUAGGUGGGAGGCUUUGAAGUGUGGACGCCAGUCUGCAUGGAGCCGACCUUGAAAUACCACCCUUUAAUGUUUGAUGUUCUAACGUGGACCCGUUACCCGGGUUGCGGACAGUGUCUGGUGGGUAGUUUGACUGGGGCGGUCUCCUCCUAAAGAGUAACGGAGGAGCACGAAGGUUGGCUAAUCCUGGUCGGACAUCAGGAGGUUAGUGCAAUGGCAUAAGCCAGCUUGACUGCGAGCGUGACGGCGCGAGCAGGUGCGAAAGCAGGUCAUAGUGAUCCGGUGGUUCUGAAUGGAAGGGCCAUCGCUCAACGGAUAAAAGGUACUCCGGGGAUAACAGGCUGAUACCGCCCAAGAGUUCAUAUCGACGGCGGUGUUUGGCACCUCGAUGUCGGCUCAUCACAUCCUGGGGCUGAAGUAGGUCCCAAGGGUAUGGCUGUUCGCCAUUUAAAGUGGUACGCGAGCUGGGUUUAGAACGUCGUGAGACAGUUCGGUCCCUAUCUGCCGUGGGCGCUGGAGAACUGAGGGGGGCUGCUCCUAGUACGAGAGGACCGGAGUGGACGCAUCACUGGUGUUCGGGUUGUCAUGCCAAUGGCACUGCCCGGUAGCUAAAUGCGGAAGAGAUAAGUGCUGAAAGCAUCUAAGCACGAAACUUGCCCCGA